rnacentral:sRNA from 1 species
AAACUGAUUAGCUUCAGGACGGGCAAC